rnacentral:lncRNA from 1 species
CACUGAGUGGCAUGCCUCUAACCCCUGCACUCUGGGAGGCUGAGGCAGGAGGAUCACAGGUUUGGGCCUCAGAAACUUAGCAAUACCCUUCUCAAAAUAAAAAAGAAAGGGUUAGGAAUGCAGCACAAGGCCAUUCUUAAUGUUAUCUCAGAUUGACUUGCUUGCAUUUUUCUGCAUCUUCCAAACUUGCUACAACAAAGACGCAUUAAUAUAAAGCAAUAAAGUAAACAAUUGAUAUCCCAGCUCAGAAUCUUAGCAACACCUUUAUGUAUUUAAGAGCUAUUUAGUGAGUGCCUGUUACUACCAUUUACACUGCCAUGUGAUUCUAAUCAAUGUCAAUACAGUACUUAAUGACAGAGCACAAAUCUGAAAUUGUGUUUUGCAGCAAAGAAAAACUACAGCCUGCUCAGUAUGGUAUUAAGUUUAAAUCUCUUUUUUUCAGGUCUUUGAAAAUCAUUCAUAUACAUAGCAAAUGCCCUGUAACUGGAGCAGCCCAUUCAUCAAUCCUUGGCUAAGUGAUGUGAAAUCCUGUGUUCUCAGCCUGUCUCGGCAAAAGGGCAAACAGAACUCAGACCCCUGACUGGUCUUCAUUUGCAAGGACCGUACACCCAGUCAUACACCAUACACCAUGAGCAGCUCUCAUUCCAAUCCAGGUGGCAGACAGGCAGGUCUGUGCACGCCCUACCGUGGUCUCGAGUCACGUGGAAGACUCCGAAUCACCCCGCUGCAGGCAGGCAGCCACCUGGUUCCACACUACAAAGACACAGAGGACACCAGACCACCAGACCAAGGUACUGAGUUCCACCGCUCCCGGCCCAGAUGUAGGGGCUUCUGAGCCGCCGUCCUACUGCUCCUGGUCCAGAGGAAGGGGCUUCCCAGUCACCAUCACUCCCGCUGCUCCCAGCCCAGAG